rnacentral:rRNA from 1 species
UACGUAGGGUGCGAGCGUUAAUCGGAAUUACUGGGCGUAAAGCGUGCGCAGGCGGUUUUGUAAGCCAGAUGUGAAAUCCCCGGGCUUAACCUGGGAAUGGCAUUUGGGACUGCAAGGCUGGAGUGCGGCAGAGGAGACUGGAAUUCCUGGUGUAGUGGUGAAAUGCGCAGAUAUCAGGAAGAACACCCGUGGCGAAGGCGGCUCUCUGGGACGGUACUGACGCUGAGACGCGAAAGCGUGGGGAGCGAACAGG